CAAACCCUAACCCGAACCCGAACCCGAACCAGAACCAGAACCCAUACCCUAACCUUAACUCUAAACCUUAACCCUAACCCCUCAUAAAUAAAGAAGCAUCCAGGGACCUCAAACUGAGAAUUCUGCAAUACUCUGGAAGCAGCCAAGGCCUUUGGAAGAAGCAGAUAACCUCAGAUAGUGGUGAGCUUCUGCCCAAGAUGUCCCGCAAAGCCUCUGAUAAUACCUGUUUUGUUUUCCAUCUGCCUGAUGAUAAUCAUUUUUCUCAUUUUAUGCAGACCCAUGAUUGGCAUCCACACAUAAUGGCCCUUUUCCUCUUUUCUUUCCUCCUUAUUGCAUUUGUUUGGACAGAAACAUAUUCAUUCUAACGCCAUUCUUAGACUAUCCCAAACAGUGACCACUGCCCUCUAAUUUACCAAUGAUCACUUGACCCCAUGAAAAAUACCUGUGAGCAAUCUAUUGAUCAGAACCUAGGUAAUUCUAAAUUUGAAUUCACUGGCCUACAUAGGACAAUGGGCGAAAUGUUUGCCAGCUGUAAAAGACUAAUAAUCACCAGACUAAUAGUAAUCCAGCUGAGGCACGGCCUUGGUUCCGACCUCAUGCUGGGAACAACUCCCUUUUGCUAGAGCCCCACAUACCUCUACCAGAUACGACUUCCUUUGCAGUCACGAACCUGGUCCUGUUUGCCUCAACAGACACCUCAUGCACUUUAGGAAGAGCAUUCAGAGACUUGUCUGUACACAGAGGCCCUAAAUCUAGAAAUCAUCAAGACUGGAAACUUAGAGUCAGAUGGGAGUUCCAAAAUGAGCCCACUCUUGAUCAUGCCUGGGGGAUUAUGGACCCUUUACGCAGUCAGAUCAAUCAGUGUUCCCAAUGGUAUGAAUUGUACAAAUAGAAAAGACUUAAGGAACCAUAUUCAUCUGAUACAGCUGCCACAACAAAGUAUCACAAACUGGGUGACUUAACAGAAAUUUAUUGUCCCACAGUUCUCGAGGCUACAAGUCUGAUAUCAAGGUGUCGGCAGGGUUGGUUCCUUCUGAGGCUGUGAGGAAGAAUCUGUUCCACACCUCUCUCCUGGCUUCUGGUGCUUUGCUGGCAAUCUUUAG
rnacentral:lncRNA from 1 species